CCCGUGCUACAACCGCACAGAUGCAGGUAUAAAGUUUUUCGGAUUGCUCCGGAUCACCUGUUUGCUGGCGAGUCUGAGUCUAAUU
rfam:Bacillus sp. HMSC76G11 genomic scaffold Scaffold1537, whole genome shotgun sequence.